AACCCUAAUCACUCCACUCAUUUGCCAGCCACCCCAUUACCCCUUUCUCUCAUCUCUCUCUCAUCCUCUCCAACCUUUGAAUUCCCUAAAACAUAUCACAAAUGAGUGCAAAAUCACUAUAAGACCAUUGUGAGACCAUCAUCAUCAUGUUAGCCGAGAAUUCAGCUGAAAUUAUUUCUAUUUCCAUCAUCUCUUUUAAAAUAUCAAAAUCCAAAAUCCUAGAUUCAAACAUGAAAAACAUAUGAUAUCAUCAUCGCACCUUCAUUUUUCAAAUCCUCCAUUAAAGCUCGCAUGUACCCUUCAUAUUUGGAGGAAUCUUGACCUCAACGUGACGUUUGACGACCCAGAGAUCAAACGUGGGGACCUAUGGGUAAAGGCUUUGUUCAGAGGUCAUCGGCUUCAAACGGCUAGUCUAUUUCGUCACUUUUGAGAAGAUCCUGACAUUGGUACCAAUGGAGUUCUAAGAGGUACAUAGCAGCUACCAGGCAGUGAUUCAAAGUAGAGCUGCAUUCCGUUCGUAGGCCUUAGAAUAACUUUCCUAGUUCCUAUAUACUGUUUCCAUUUUAUUUCAGACAGUAUUGUAAUUCCUUUCCAAAUAUUGUAUUUAGUAUAAUCCCGAAGCUCAUGUACUUGUGACUUCACAUAUUGGGAUAUUCGCGUUAGAUGUUGGUUUUAGACUUAUUGUGUUUGUAUCAGAAUUGCCUUUACGUUUUGUUAUUAAUCUAUUGUCAGUCUUUUA